ACCCGAUCCCAUCUCGAACUCGGCCGUGAAAGUAGUUUGCGCCAAUGGUACUAACGCUCAAGCGUUGGAAGAGUAGGGCGUCGCCAGGC
rnacentral:rRNA from 1 species